AUGUCGUAUAAGACAUGCAUUCUAAAAGAUGAUGCUGUGAACGUGCUGCACUCAAUAUGCCAGCAAGUUUGGAAAACUCAGCAGUGGCCACAGGACUGGAAAAGAUCAGUUUUCAUUCCAAUCCCAAAGAAAGGCAAUGCCAAAGAAUGCUCAAACUACCACACAAUUGCACUCAUCUUACAUGCUAGUAAAGUAAUGCUCAAAAUUCUCCAAGCUAGGCUUAAGCAAUACGUGAACUGUGAACUCCCUGAUAUUCAAGCUGGUUUUAGAAAAGGCGGAGGAACCAGAGGUCAAAUUGCCAACAUCCGCUGGAUCAUGGAAAAAGCAAGAGAGUUCCAGGAAAACAUCUAUUUCUGCUAUAUUGUCUAUGCCAAAACCUUAGACUGUGUGGAUCACAAUAAACUGUGGAAAAUUCUGAAAGAGAUGGAAAUACCAGACCACCUGACCUGCCUCUUGAGAAACCUAUAUGCAGGUCAGGAAGCAACAGUUAGAACUGGACCUAGAACAACAGACUGGUUCCAAAUAGGAAAAGGAGUCCGUCAAGGCUGUAUAUUGUCAGCCUGCUUAUUUAACUUCUAUGCAGAGUACAUCAUGAGAAAUGCUGGGCUGGAAGAAGCACAAGCUGGAAUCAAGAUUGCCAGGACAAAUAUCAAUCACCUCAGAUAUGCAGAUGACACCACCCUUAUGGCAGAAAGUGAAGAAGAACUAAAAAGCCACUUGCUGAAAGUGAAAGUAGAGAGUGAAAAAGUUGGCUUAAAGCUCAACAUUCAGAAAACGAAGAUCAUGGCAUCCGGUCCCAUCACUUCAUGGGAAAUAGAUGGGGAAACAGUGGAAACAGUGUCAGACUUUAUUUUGGGGGGCUCCAAAAUCACUGAAGAUGGUAAUUGCAGCCAUGAAAUUAAAAGACGCUUACUCCUUGGAAGAAAAGUUAUGACCAACCUAGAUAAUAUAUUCAAAAGCAGAGAUAUUACUUUGCCAACUAAGGUCCAUCUAGUCAAGGCUAUGGUUUUUCCUGUGGUCAUAUAUGGAUGUGAAAGUUGGACUGUGAAGAAGGCUGAGUGCCAAAGAAUUGAUGCUUUUGAACUGUGGUGUUGA
rnacentral:lncRNA from 1 species